rnacentral:rRNA from 1 species
CUCCGUAAGGAGGAGGAAGGUGGGGACGACGUCAAGUCAUCAUGGCCCUUACGCCUAGGGCUACACACGUGCUACAAUGGGGUGUACAAAGAGAAGCAAUACUGCGAAGUGGAGCCAAUCUUCAAAACGCCUCUCAGUUCGGAUUGUAGGCUGCAACUCGCCUGCAUGAAGCUGGAAUCGCUAGUAAUCGCAAAUCAGCCAUGUUGCGGUGAAUACGUUCCCGGGUCUUGUACUCACCGCCCGUCACACCAUGGGAGUUGUGUUUGCCUUAAGUCAGGAUGCUAAAUUGGCUACUGCCCACGGCACACACAGCGACUGGGGUGAAGUCGUAACAAGGUAACCGUAGGUGAACCUGCGGUUGGAUCACCUCCUUU